GAUGAACGCUGGCGGCGUGCCUAAUACAUGCAAGUCGAGCGAACAGACGAGGAGCUUGCUCCUCUGACGUUAGCGGCGGACGGGUGAGUAACACGUGGAUAACCUACCUAUAAGACUGGGAUAACUUCGGGAAACCGGAGCUAAUACCGGAUAAUAUAUUGAACCGCAUGGUUCAAUAGUGAAAGACGGUUUUGCUGUCACUUAUAGAUGGAUCCGCGCCGCAUUAGCUAGUUGGUAAGGUAACGGCUUACCAAGGCAACGAUGCGUAGCCGACCUGAGAGGGUGAUCGGCCACACGGGAACUGAGACACGGUCCAGACUCCUACGGGAGGCAGCAGUAGGGAAUCUUCCGCAAUGGGCGAAAGCCUGACGGAGCAACGCCGCGUGAGUGAUGAAGGUCUUCGGAUCGUAAAACUCUGUUAUUAGGGAAAAACAAAUGUGUAAGUAACUAUGCACGUCUUGACGGUACCUAAUCAGAAAGCCACGGCUAACUACGUG
rnacentral:rRNA from 1 species